rnacentral:tRNA from 1 species
GGGCGCGUAGCUCAGUUGGGAGAGUGCUGCAUUCGCAUUGCAGAGGUCGAGGGUUCGACUCCCUUCGCGUCCA